ensembl:lincRNA Rmst rhabdomyosarcoma 2 associated transcript (non-coding RNA)
UGACCCUGGAGGACAAGAGCAUUCUUCUGACAAGUUUUAGCAUGGACUAUCCUCAGGAAAAUGAGAUCCAGGAAGAGUGACGCCCUCCUCGAACUGAAAGAUACUCAGGCUGAUGGAGUCAGGGACGAAGUGGCUUAUCAACAACACAGGAUGUCUGCAGGGAACAGAACUUAUUCAGACAUGGCCCAGAUUGUCUGCCCGUGGGGACUGAGGGACCUCUGAGGGUUACAUCAGGAAGGAAGGAGAGGCUGUUUCUACAGGUGCCACAGAAAAAUCGAUGCUGAGCCUCGGAUUAUUGGAUCCCAUAGAACCGUGGAGACUUGGCAGUGAAAUUCUUCCAAAGCAUUCCAUCUGCGCAGGCAGGCAGAGGUGUUCCUGGUUUGGGAAGUAUAAAUCCCGUGGGAAGUCAACUGGAGGACAUUUUACGCGUCACUCAUCCUAUUAUGAGCCUGCUGCUCCUCCGUCUCUUGACAAGUUGGCAGCUAAAGGACAGGAGCAGCAAUAAGGCUUCCUGGCUACAUUUUCAUGGUGCCACCAACUGCGAGUUAAGCUGACAAACAUUUUGAGAGCUCGGCCCAUUUCAUUCCCAGCAGGAUGGCAGGAGUUAACUAAAACAGAAUAAACUAAAAAUUGUGCCUUCAUUGCACAUUUACACUGAUUAUCAGCACUGAAAAUGGCUAAGUUCUGCUUAUCAAGGAAAUAAUAUGCUCCAGAGAAUCCUCUAAUUCACCGAAAAUGGACUUGGAUAACAUUUGGGUUCUCAUACUACCACAGUCCUCUUGA